UUACCAUCCUAUUUCUUCAUCUUUUUCCCUCGAUAUGAAGAAACCCUAAAUCAUUCUUCCUCACAAUCUAAGUCGUUCCUCUCAUCUCUCAAGGCGAUUCUUUAUCUUCCAAUAUUCCCUUCAUCAUCAUUGUGUGUUCUUGCACCUCUUGAUUUUCUUCAAGGUAAAGUGACGGCUCUUCUCUCAAACCCUAAUCCUCAAUUUUGCUUCAACCAUCCGCAGUCCAAAAGCCUACAAUCAUCAGGUAUUAUAACUAUUAUUCAAGUAAUUUUUUUUUAUUUUACAAUCGUGGCUAUUCAAUUCAAUUUUGAUCCACAAACCCUCAUCACAGAAUUACCUUUACACCAUUCUUUCCCUCUUUUCCUUUGUUGUUCGUUUGGUAUCUGUAACCAGGUAAGUGGUUACAGUUUGCAGCAAUUGUUCAUCUAUGUGCAUGAAUAGAUGUAGAGAUCUAUUUAUUUGUUUGAAAUUAGACUAGGGUUUUUGUUUAAUUUUGAUAUUUAGAUCUGUGGCUAUGCUAAGUUUCUGGUUUGUUUAAUUUUGACAUGUCCAUAUGGACAAUGCAUGUUCUUAUGACACAUGGGUUAAAUACGCCGGAUUUUCAGUUUUUUUUUCUAUUAGUGGCGUUUGAUAUUUAAAAAUUUUUUAAUUGAUGCCAAUUUUGUAUGUCAGAUUGUCUGUCAUGUACAACUGGUAUGUUUUGACUUAAUGGUAAAAAAAGUUAAAGAAUGGUCUGUUAUUGGGUGUUGAGAUUGUUGGAUUUGGUUCGGUUGUUAGAUAUCAAUUGGGUCCUUAAUGGCGUUUUUUGUUACUUUUUAGUGGUUUGAUUUUCUUUCUUUUUGAAUAUGUUAUGGGGUCCAGAUUUUGGUGGUUUGAUGCUAAUUCUAAUUAUUUAGUUCUAGGACGUAAAGCUUUUUGAAACAAGAAUCUAUGUGUGGAAUAGUAACUUUUCAUAUUUAAAUCAAGAGAGAGAACAGAGUAAAUAGGAUAGUGAGAAGGUUGUGGCUAACUUAGCAACUUCAAUACAGAGGGUUAAUACAAACGCUUAGGAGGAAUUGAACUCAGAAAAAGUGUUAUAUGCAAAUCAUGGUACAAUGGUGAUUUUUAUCUCUGAAAUCAGAUUUUAGCCAACUUAUUUUUUCUAAUUCUCUUUGUAGUUUGUACAAGAUAGCUCUUAAAUUUGAGGCAAAGGCAGCAGUUAUGGUCUUCCAUAGUCCAUAUGAAUGGCAAUUUUACAGUCGUGGACACGCUUGGACCUAGCUUAUGGGACGUAUGGAAUUCUUUUGGGCAAUUGUGAGUCCUUAAGGUAGAACCUUGGUUUUAGUCCUUGCUCCUUUAUUUUGCUUUGACCUGGGUAUUUUGUUUGUCGACUCACAAAAUUAUGCAUAUUAAAAUGACAAAUUAACUUUAAAAUGGUUGGAUAGCAUCAACAUAGAUUCCCAAGACUGCAAGGGAUUCUUUGUGCAGAAAGACUACAAAAUGUUUCCACCUUCAGUAAAUUUGGAUAAUAUUGAUUGGUCUACAACGAGGCUGCAAAUCGAUUUCCCUGUCCUGGUGGGCGUUACUAUGAAGGUUAGCACUAUUCAACUGGUCCCUUAGAAAUGUUGUUUUUGACACAAGUGGAUCCUAAAUUGGAACAAUAGCAAAGAUCUCAUCAUUUCUUUGUAAUUAUUUAAUGAUAUGAGUAUUCUACUACUCUAUAAUAAGUGGGAGUGAGGUUAGCAAAACAAGAUGGUGAUGGCGAUGGUCACUGGCGGAUACCACAUAUAGUAAAUUAUUAUUUUACAGUAAUAUUUUUUACUGUUCUAUGAAGUUGUUUUA
rnacentral:lncRNA from 1 species